rnacentral:tRNA from 1 species
GUCCCUAUAGCUCAGGUGGAUAGAGCCCAGGUUUCCUAAACCUGUUACCCAAGUUCGAGUCUUGGUGGGGAUA